rnacentral:rRNA from 1 species
GCCCUAGUAACGGCGAGUGAAGCGGCAACAGCUCAAAUUUGAAAUCUGGCCUCGGCCCGAGUUGUAAUUUGCAGAGGAUGCUUCUGGCGCGGUGCCUUCCGAGUUCCCUGGAACGGGACGCCACAGAGGGUGAGAGCCCCGUAUGGUCGGACACCAAGCCUGUGUGAAGCUCCUUCGACGAGUCGAGUAGUUUGGGAAUGCUGCUCUAAAUGGGAGGUAAAUCUCUUCUAAAGCUAAAUACCGGCCAGAGACCGAUAGCGCACAAGUAGAGUGAUCGAAAGAUGAAAAGCACCUUGAAAAGGGGGUUAAAUAGUACGUGAAAUUGUUGAAAGGGAAGCACUUAUGACCAGACUUGGGCCGGGCGGCUCAUCAGGGGUUCUCCCCUGUGCACUCCGCCCGGCACAGGCCAGCAUCGGUUCUCGUGGGGGGAUAAGACCGACAGGAACGUAGCACCCUCCGGGGUGUGUUAUAGCCUGGCGGACGAUACCCCCGUGGGGACCGAGGUCCGCGCUCCGCAAGGAUGCUGGCGUAAUGGUCAUCAGUGACCCGUCUUGAAACACGGACCAAGGAGUCGUCCAUUAGAGCGAGCGUUUGGGUGUAAAACCCGCACGCGUAAUGAAAGUGAACGCAGGUGAGAGCUUCGGCGCAUCAUCGACCGAUCCUGAUGUUCUCGGAAGGAUUUGAGUAAGAGUUUUAACGGACGGACCCGAAAGACAGUGAACUAUGCUUGAAUAGGGUGAAGCCAGAGGAAACUCUGGUGGAGGCUCGCAGCGGUUCUGACGUGCAAAUCGAUCGUCAAAUAUGAGCAUGGGGGCGAAAGACUAAUCGAACUGUCUAGUAGCUGGUUACCGCC